AUGUCCAGCUGCAGAAUUCUGCACACCCCUAAUCUUCAGUAUGAUAUAGGGGUUCCAGCUGGACGCAGAGUAAACCUGUCUGUUUAGGAGGGCAGCCCAAAGAUUAGGUGCUUUUCCCUUAAAGGCAUGGCAGGACAUA